rnacentral:rRNA from 1 species
AUUGAACGCUGGCGGCAGGCCUAACACAUGCAAGUCGAACGAGUGGCGGACGGGUGAGUAAUGUCUGGGAAACUGCCCGAUGGAGGGGGAUAACUACUGGAAACGGUAGCUAAUACCGCAUACCAUCGGAUGUGCCCAGAUGGGCUUAGCUAGUAGGUGGGGUAAAGGCUCACCUAGGCGACGAUCUCUAGCUGGUCUGAGAGGAUGAUCAGCAAAACUGGGACUGAGCAACGGCCCAGACUCCUACGGGAGGAAGCGGUGGGGAAGAUUGCACAAUGGGCGAAAGCCGGAUGAAGCCAUGCCGGGUGUAUGAAGAGGGCCUUAGGGUUGUAAAGUACUUUCAGCGGGGAGGCGUUACCCGCAGAAGAAGCACCGGCUAACUCCGUGCCAGCAGCCGCGGUAUUC